CCUACGGGGGGCAGCAGUGGGGAAUAUUGGACAAUGGGGGCAACCCUGAUCCAGCCAUGCCGCGUGUGUGAAGAAGGCCCUCGGGUUGUAAAGCACUUUCAGUGAGGAAGAACGCCUGGUGGUUAAUACCCAUCAGGAAAGACAUCACUCACAGAAGAAGCACCGGCUAACUCCGUGCCAGCAGCCGCGGUAAUACGGAGGGUGCGAGCGUUAAUCGGAAUUACUGGGCGUAAAGCGCGCGUAGGUGGCUUGAUAAGCCGGUUGUGAAAGCCCCGGGCUCAACCUGGGAACGGCAUCCGGAACUGCCAAGCUAGAGUGCAGGAGAGGAAGGUAGAAUUCCCGGUGUAGCGGUGAAAUGCGUAGAGAUCGGGAGGAAUACCAGUGGCGAAGGCGGCCUUCUGGACUGACACUGACACUGAGGUGCGAAAGCGUGGGUAGCAAACAGGAUUAGAUACCCUGGUAGUC
rnacentral:rRNA from 1 species